rnacentral:rRNA from 1 species
UACGUAGGGUGCAAGCGUUGUCCGGAAUUAUUGGGCGUAAAGAGCUCGUAGGCGGUCCGUCACGUCGGCUGUGCAAACCCGGGGCUCAACCCCGGGCCUGCAGUCGAUACGGGGCGGACUAGAGUUCGGUAGGGGAGACUGGAAUUCCUGGUGUAGCGGUGAAAUGCGCAGAUAUCAGGAGGAACACCGGUGGCGAAGGCGGGUCUCUGGGCCGAAACUGACGCUGAGGAGCGAAAGCGUGGGGAGCAAACAGG